AAAAAAGGCCCCAAAGGGUUUGCCCCCUCAAAGGUCCACUCCACCUCUUUGUAAAUACCAGACUAUGCUAUGAGUAGUUCACUUGCUGAGCUAGGCAUCACCCAACAACUCCAAAGCAAGAAUCAGAAACCAACAAAUCCCACAGCCUACCUCACAACGUAUUAGUAGCUGAUUUUCUGUCUCUUCAUCACUUUGCCAAGCAACACUAACUUGUCAUGACUCCACCCCCUCUUAAUCAACUGAUCUGGUGAAGAUAAAUAAGAAAUUAUCAGCCCAAUGGAUGUGACUCUAGGUAGACUUCGUACAUACAACCUGUCCUCCCAGUUUCAUCUGAGUCCAGCAUUCGAGUAACUGCAAGGUCAGGGCUUGAUGGAGAAAUUUGAGCUCAUAUGGCAUCACAUUGCACAGGCAUCCCAAAGGUUUCAACUUAUCUCAACUGAAAAUAAACAAAAUGACAGUACAUUUGAUAAUAAGGGCAUCCACAGAUUGUUCCAAGUGUGUUCCCACUUCCCUGGAGUCAGAAGAAUUAACAAGAGUUUCUAGGUAGACUUUGUACAUACAAC
rnacentral:lncRNA from 1 species